GAGAAUUACUUGUUCAGGAGCGUU
rnacentral:siRNA from 1 species